CAAAUAAAUUUCGACGCAACAUUCAGAACAAACAUAGCACACUGACGAUCAAUGUUAGAAUAGUAUAAUAGGUCUCACAUUAAAUUAAUAAUGCGCCUCAUUUUUUGUUUUGAUCUUUAUCAUCUUUUUUCUUUUCUUUGUUUUGCGCAUU
rnacentral:ribozyme from 1 species